GAUGAACGCUGGCGGCGUGCCUAAUACAUGCAAGUCGAGCGAACGGACGAGAAGCUUGCUUCUCUGAUGUUAGCGGCGGACGGGUGAGUAACACGUGGAUAACCUACCUAUAAGACUGGGAUAACUUCGGGAAACCGGAGCUAAUACCGUAUGAUAUUUUGAACCGCAUGGUUCAAAAGUGAAAGACGGUCUUGCUGUCACUUAUAGAUGGAUCCGCGCUGCAUUAGCUAGUUGGUAAGGUAACGGCUUACCAAGGCAACGAUGCAUAGCCGACCUGAGAGGGUGAUCGGCCACACUGGAACUGAGACACGGUCCAGACUCCUACGGGAGGCAGCAGUAGGGAAUCUUCCGCAAAGGGCGAAAGCCUGACGGAGCAACGCCGCGUGAGUGAUGAAGGUCUUCGGAUCGUAAAACUCUGUUAUUAGGGAAGAACAUAUGUGUAAGUAACUGUGCACAUCUUGACGGUACCUAAUCAGAAAGCCACGGCUAACUACGUG
rnacentral:rRNA from 1 species